UACGUAGGGGGGCAAGCGUUGUCCGGAAUUAUUGGGCGUAAAGAGCGCGUAGGCGGUCCGAUAAGUCGGCUGUGAAAGUCGGGGGCUCAACCCUCGAAUGCCGGUGGAUACUGUCGGGCUAGAGUGCGGAAGAGGCGAGUGGAAUUCCUGGUGUAGCGGUGAAAUGCGCAGAUAUCAGGAGGAACACCUAUUGCGAAGGCAGCUCGCUGGGACGUAACUGACGCUGAGACGCGAAAGCGUGGGGAGCAAACAGG
rnacentral:rRNA from 1 species